AAAUUGCUUACUAAAGGAUAAAAAAUUCAUCAAAUUAAAGUAACAUUUAUAUUUAUCUCCGCACGAACACAUAAACGCUUCACUAAUAUUUGCAUUCUGCGGUAGAUUGGAUAUUGAAUAUUACGUCUCAUCAUAUUGAAGCAACAUUCAACUUUAUCUCCUGCACGAACAUACAAAUUUUUCAUCAAUAUUUGUAUUCUAUAAUAGAUUGGAUAUUAAAUAUCACAUAAAUUUGUAUAACAACCGUAACAAACAUAUAAUAUAAUCAUAUGAUUGAUUAUUUAAACUUAAUCUUAUUACAUGACAACAAAUGAAAUUCUAUCUAUAAACAGUGAACAACAAAAUUAAAUAACCAUGAAAAUUGAGAAAUAUAAUGGAGAGAAACUUGAGGCAUGAGGGUAAUAAGCACAACUUUUCUCUUCUUUUUUUUCAUUAUUUAUACUACUAGCAAAAUAGGUAUAUUUUUUUCAUUUUACUAUAGAAUUAAAAAAGUCACAACUUUUGAAUUAAUGGUGAAGCUUUUGAAUGGAGGAAAUGAUUAGUCAUAUAGACAAAUUUUUGAACAAUAGUAAUAAAUAAAAUUAUUAAAAUCAAUAAGAUAGACGAGAAGAGUGGUAAUUGACAUAUAUUUAGUAUUAAUUAUUAUUAAUAUCAAUUUUAAUUGUGCUUAAAAUAUUUGAUUGAAUAAAUAAAAAAACAAAGAAAGAAAAGAGGGUGAACUAAGGAAAUGAUAUAAUUAUCAUUAAUUGCAUUAAUGAUGGAAAGAAUUAAAUAUGACUAUUUUUAAUAUUUUGUAAAUUUUUAAGGUGAAAUUUAUGUCCUUUAAAAUUGAAAAAAAUGCCUAAAAAAAAAAUAAAUAUAAAUUCAGUCCUUAAAAAGCGCUACGUCAGCAAGUCUAUAACAUAUAUAUAAUAUUAAUUAUUAUUAAUAUCAGUUUUAAUUGUGCUUUUUUAUAUUUGAUUGAAUAAAUGAAUGGAAAUAAAAAGAACAAAGAAAGGAAAACAGGUGAAAUAAGGAAAUGAUAUAAUUAUCAUUAAUAACAUUAAUGAUGGAAAGAAUUAAAUAUGACUAUUUUUAAUAUUUUAUAAAUUUUUAAGGUGAAAUUUAUACUUUUUAGAAUUAAAAAAUAUGUAAAAGAAAAGGGAAAAAAAGAUCAAUAUAAGCAACACACGCAUGUGAAGCAUUUCUGGCUGAUAUUUACUUCACUCAAUAACACCUCUCACGUUGCUUGCUAUGGAAUUUUUUGCAUUUACUCCUUCAGCAGCUCCCCCAGCUCUCUCUUGUGUAUAUUCAUUUAUUGCCAAUAAUCAAUAUGAACUAUAUGCAGUACAGUUCACUACUCCUGGCAUCCUUCUCUACUGUCGCUUUCACUAUAAGAGCCUACAAUUGGGACAUAUGAAGGAAAGAAGGAUGAAGAAGACAGACAAAAGAAAGAUAUUUACCUUCUAUUUUGGGUUAUGAAUGCCUUUAUAUUCGUUCUAUACUUAUCGAUGAUAAGUUGCCUUCAUGUUAGGUUAACGUGAGACGCGUUAAAUAGUAUAUUUUUCCGUUGAAGGGGGUUCGGACGAACCCCCUAAAGAAGGCUGGCUCCGCCACUGUACCUGGCCAACGACAACACUCUUCUGGAUCAGACUACUUCCCAUAGCAGCUUUUUCAAUCUUUGAUGGUUCAACAUUCUCACCUAGUCUUUCCGCAAGAGGUAAAAACAUAUGAUAAAGUUCAAAGACGUCAAUUGCAAAAUUAGUAGUAGAAUAAAGCCCGUUCGAUGAUGCCUAUUCCUUCAAUCAACGGCCGAUUGAAUCGACAACCAACGUUGACAGCCUCAAUCUUGGAGGAUAUAUGAACCAGCCGAAAAGUUGAAUGUCACGUAAAGCCAGACUCUUUAAAUAAUUAAGAAGUUUGGUUUUCUACGUGGGUAGAGGAAGAGAAAAGGUCUUGUAUCUUUGGAUGUGGGUGGAGACUGGAGUGGAAAGGUUCAUUUGCCAUUACUAACAAAAUUUAAAACAAAUAAAUGAUUCUAAUUAUAGAGAAAUAACAAAGAAUUAAUCAAAAUAUUUUGAUAUUAAAAUCUCAAAAAAAUGAGAAAACAGAAAAA
rnacentral:lncRNA from 1 species